GCAUAUCAAUAAGCGGAGGAAAAGAAACCAACAGGGAUUGCCCCAGUAACGGCGAGUGAAGCGGCAACAGCUCAAAUUUGAAAUCUGGCCCCCAGGGCCCGAGUUGUAAUUUGCAGAGGAUGCUUUGGGCGCGGUGCCUUCCGAGUUCCCUGGAACGGGACGCCAUAGAGGGUGAGAGCCCCGUACGGUUGGACACCAAGCCUGUGUAAAGCUCCUUCGACGAGUCGAGUAGUUUGGGAAUGCUGCUCAAAAUGGGAGGUAUAUUUCUUCUAAAGCUAAAUAUUGGCCAGAGACCGAUAGCGCACAAGUAGAGUGAUCGAAAGAUGAAAAGCACUUUGAAAAGAGGGUUAAACAGCACGUGAAAUUGUUAAAAGGGAAGCGCUUGUGACCAGACUUGCGCCCGGCGGAUCACCCGGCUCUCGCGGCCGGGGCACUCCGCCGGCUCAGGCCAGCAUCAGCUCGCUGUCGGGGACAAAAGCUUCGGGAACGUGGCUCCCUCCGGGGAGUGUUAUAGCCCGUUGCACAAUACCCUUCGGUGGGCUGAGGUACGCGCUCCGCAAGGAUGCUGGCGUAAUGGUCAUCAGCGACCCGUCUUGAAACACGGACCAAGGAGUCAACCUUAUAUGCGAGUGUUCGGGUGUCAAACCCCUACGCGUAAUGAAAGUGAACGCAGGUGAGAGCUUCGGCGCAUCAUCGACCGAUCCUGAUGUUCUCGGAUGGAUUUGAGUAAGAGCAUAUAGGGUUGGACCCGAAAGAAGGUGAACUAUGCGUGUAUAGGGUGAAGCCAGAGGAAACUCUGGUGGAGGCUCGCAGCGGUUCUGACGUGCAAAUCGAUCGUCAAAUAUGCGCAUGGGGGCGAAAGACUAAUCGAACYUUCUAGUAGCUGGUUUCCGCGA
rnacentral:rRNA from 1 species